CCUACGGGUGGCAGCAGUGGGGAAUAUUGGACAAUGGGGGGAACCCUGAUCCAGCCAUGCCGCGUGUGUGAAGAAGGCCCUCGGGUUGUAAAGCACUUUCAGUGAGGAAGAACGCCUGGUGGUUAAUACCCAUCAGGAAAGACAUCACUCACAGAAGAAGCACCGGCUAACUCCGUGCCAGCAGCCGCGGUAAUACGGAGGGUGCGAGCGUUAAUCGGAAUUACUGGGCGUAAAGCGCGCGUAGGUGGCUUGAUAAGCCGGUUGUGAAAGCCCCGGGCUCAACCUGGGAACGGCAUCCGGAACUGUCAAGCUAGAGUGCAGGAGAGGAAGGUAGAAUUCCCGGUGUAGCGGUGAAAUGCGUAGAGAUCGGGAGGAAUAACAGUGGCGAAGGCGGCCUUCUGGACUGACACUGACACUGAGGUGCGAAAGCGUGGGUAGCAAACAGGAUUAGAUACCCGUGUAGUC
rnacentral:rRNA from 1 species